rnacentral:rRNA from 2 species
ACGGGAGGCAGCAGUGGGGAAUAUUGCACAAUGGGGGAAACCCUGAUGCAGCGACGCCGCGUGAAGGAAGAAGUAUUUCGGUAUGUAAACUUCUAUCAGCAGGGAAGAUAAUGACGGUACCUGACUAAGAAGCCCCGGCUAACUACGUGCCAGCAGCCGCGGUAAUACGUAGGGGGCAAGCGUUAUCCGGAUUUACUGGGUGUAAAGGGAGCGUAGACGGUACGGCAAGUCUGAUGUGAAAACCCGGGGCUCAACCUCGGGACUGCAUUGGAAACUGUCGAACUAGAGUGUCGGAGAGGUAAGUGGAAUUCCUAGUGUAGCGGUGGAAUGCGUAGAUAUUAGGAGGAACACCAGUGGCGAAGGCGACUUACUGGACGAUUACUGACGUUGAGGCUCGAAAGCGUGGGGAGCAAACAGGAUUAGAUACCCUGGUA